CCGCACAAGCGGUGGAGCAUGUGGUUUAAUUCGACGCAACGCGCAGAACCUUACCAGCCCUUGACAUGUCCAGGACCGGUCGCAGAGACGUGACCUUCUCUUCGGAGCCUGGAACACAGGUGCUGCAUGGCUGUCGUCAGCUCGUGUCGUGAGAUGUUGGGUUAAGUCCCGCAACGAGCGCAACCCCCGUCCUUAGUUGCUACCAUUUAGUUGAGCACUCUAAGGAGACUGCCGGUGAUAAGCCGCGAGGAAGGUGGGGAUGACGUCAAGUCCUCAUGGCCCUUACGGGCUGGGCUACACACGUGCUACAAUGGCGGUGACAGUGGGAUGCGAAGACGCAAGUCCUAGCAAAUCUCAAAAAGCCGUCUCAGUUCGGAUUGGGCUCUGCAACUCGAGCCCAUGAAGUUGGAAUCGCUAGUAAUCGUGGAUCAGCACGCCACGGUGAAUACGUUCCCGGGCCUUGUACACACCGCCCGUCACACCAUGGGAGUUGGCUUUACCUGAAGACGGUGCGCUAACCAGCAAUGGAGGCAGCCGG
rnacentral:rRNA from 1 species